rnacentral:tRNA from 1 species
GAAAUAAGUUUAUUAAAGCUUCUAACUUUAACUCAAGCGUAUAAAAACGUUUUUAUUUCU